rnacentral:rRNA from 1 species
UACGGGGGGAGCAAGCGUUGUUCGGAUUUACUGGGCGUAAAGGGCGCGUAGGCGGUCGUGACAAGUCACUUGUGAAAUCUCCGGGCUUAACUCGGAACGGUCAAGUGAUACUGUCGGACUAGAGUACAGAAGGGGCAACUGGAAUUCUCGGUGUAGCGGUGAAAUGCGUAGAUAUCGAGAGGAACACCUGCGGCGAAGGCGGCGCUCUGGGCCGGUACUGACGCUGAGGUGCGAAAGCGUGGGGAGCAAACAGG